UCCAGGGUAGCCUAGUGGACAUGGCAUCUGCCCGGUAAGCGGAACACUGUGGGUUCGUUUCCCAUCCCUGGAU
rnacentral:tRNA from 1 species